CACCUAAGAGCUAGCCUGACCAACCAAACUAAACAACCCAUAUUAAUAACCCCCCACACACUAGGUUAAGACACCAGAACAUUUUUCCCCCCUAGUAUAGGCGAUAGAAAAGGGCCCAAGAGCUAUAGCAACAGUACCGCAAGGGAACGCUGAAAGAGAGGUGAAACAGUACCAUAAAGUACAGAAAAGCAGAGAUUAAGCCUCGUACCUUUCGCAUCAUGAAUUAGCUAGUACUAUCAAGCAAGGAGAACCGUAGCUUGUACACCCGAAACUGAGUGAGCUACUCCAGGACAGCCUAUUUAGGGCAAACCCGUCUCUGUGGCAAAAGAGUGGGGAGAUCUUCGAGUAGAAGUGACAGACUUACCGAACUCAGCUAUAGCUGGUUGCCUGAGAAAUGGAUAUAAGUUCAGCCCCCUGACUUCUUCACUCAUACGCCCCCCGUAUGACAAAAAGAUUUAUUAGGGGAGUUAUUCAAAGGGGGUACAGCCCGUUUGAAAAAAGACACAACUUUUUAGGGAGGAUAAGGAUACGUGAAGGACUCGUGCCCCCGUGGGCCUGAAGGCAGCCACCCCCGCAGAAAGCGUUAAAGCUCAAGCACAGCAACACCCAUAUAUUCCAACAAACCCGUCCAAAGCCCCGACACCAUAUCAGGCUGCUCUACCUAACCCGUAGAAGAAAUAAUGCUAGUAUGAGUAAUAGGAAAUCCACGAAUUUCUCCCGGCACUCGCGUAAAUCAGAACGGACAACCCACCGAGCAUUAACGGACCCAAGAGAAGAGGGUACUGAAUUGCCCACACCGGAAAAGCAUUCGACCUCAAACCGUUGACCCCACACCGGAGUGCCUAAGGGAAAGACUGAAGGAAAGAGAAGGAACUCGGCAAAAUGAAGAAGCCUCGCCUGUUUACCAAAAACAUCGCCUCUUGCUAACGCUUGUAGAAUAAGAGGUCCAGCCUGCCCAGUGACAAUGUGUUCAACGGCCGCGGUAUUUUGACUGUGCUAAGGUAGCGCAAUCACUUGUCUUUUAAAUGGGGACCUGUAUGAAAGGUAUUACGAGGGCUUAACUGUCUCCUCUUUCUAGUCAAUGAAAUUGAUCUCUCCGUGCAGAAGCGGGGAUCUAGCCAUAAGACGAGAAGACCCUGUGGAGCUUGAGACACCAGAGCAGCCCACGUCCAAAACCCCAUCAAAGGACCGAACUGAGUGGCAUCUGCCCCAAUGUCUUCGGUUGGGGUGACCAUGGGGAAAGCAAAACCCCCACGCGGACCGGGAGCACUAGAGGAACUUUUCCCAACCAUACAACCAAACUCCUAAAAGCUAGAGCCCCAACUCUAGCUAAACGAAACAUUCGACCUAGACUGAUCCGGCAUAGCCGAUCAACGGACUAAGUUACCCCAGGGAUAACAGCGCUAUCCCCUUCCAGAGCCCAUAUCGCCAAGGGGGUUUACGACCUCGAUGUUGGAUCAGGGCAUCCUAAUGGUGCAACCGCUAUUAAGGGUUCGUUUGUUCAACGAUUAAAGCCCUACGUGAUCUGAGUUCAGACCGGAGCAAUCCAGGUCAGUUUCUAUCUAUGACGUGUUUUUUUCUAGUACGAAAGGACCGGAGAGAAGGGGCCUAUGCUUUCAAGCACGCCCGACCUCCACUUGAUGAAAACAACUAAAUCAAGUAAGGGGGCACCUCCCUUGCACUUAAAUAAAAGUGU
rnacentral:rRNA from 1 species